AAGGAUAUUGUAGUUUAUCUUAGUAGGAAAUAGUGUGAUGUUUUCUCUAUUCAAAUUCUAACAUUUCGAACCUCAAACAGGUGGGUUCGUUUGGGAAGGAUCUUGAGCUGUUAGACUCACCUGGAAUUUUGCCAAUGAGAAUUAGAGACCAGACAGCUGCACUUAAGCUUGCUAAGCUACCCAUUUAUUCCUUCUAUUCGUUGAUUAUAGGAACAACACAUGCGUUCAUCAUACAAACCUGCAGCUUAUGUGCGAUAGGAUGGACUCGACAUAAAAAAAGUUUCUCUUCGGCUGCUCUGAUUUUGAGCCAAGACCCUUGGGAGUUUGUCUGGCCUCAUUGUCGACAGUGUGCAUCAGUUAGUUAUGACCUCAUCUCUUCAGUGAGAUUUUUUCCUCCAUGAAGGUUCCUCCUUACAUUGGGUUUAUUAUCCUAUUACGCGUGCUUGAUUCUACUUGAUAUUUUUGCCAUGGUGGAUUUCCGUAUUGUUCUGCAGGAUAUCCCUGACGAUCACAGGGAACGGUCCAACCAAAAGAAAAUAGUUGUAUCAACCUGCAUUUUUGCAGCCUGCGAAGCGUAAAUGUUGGACUAUUGUUUCUCCCCUGAUGCACAUGUUUCGCCACACAGACGAUAUAGUGUGUGUGUGUGAGCUCUGGAAUUAGUUUUUAGGUUAUUCUGUGUGUUGAGUACUUCUGUAAUUUCCAUGGGCGUGUUUCAUAUUUUCUGUGUAUUGUCUAUCAUUCUUUCAAGUGUUUAAUGUUUUUUUUGUAGUUUUUGAUAUUUAGUUUCAGUCAUGUUUCAUUUGUCGCAGACCUACACCUAUUAGGAAGCACAUAGUUUCAUUUUGAUCAUGUUUCUUUUAGUUGUUCAGUGUUUGUUAAUUAAUGUAGCAGAGUAAGCAGUACAUUUUGGCCAUUAGUUAAAUCACUCAUGUCACAUUCAGUUGAUUAGGUUCAGUUUUUGUUCCUUCCUUCUUCGUUCCUUCAGUUUUUUGUUCCUUUAUUUAGUCAUUGUGCUUGCAUCAUUUGCCGGUAUUUAAGUCAAUAUAACUAUUUAGUCCAUCUCAAUAGACCCUUAUGAUUCUUGAUAGUUUCUCUCUUUCAUAGAUCAGACUUUUCCGCUUUUUCAGUUAGGCUAAUUUAUGCUUUCUUUUUCAGUUUUCAGUCUUCACUUGAUUUAGUUGGACAUUGUGUUCAGUAUUUCAAUAGUUCAGUAGUUUCAUUGAUUGAUAUGUGCAUUUUCGUACUUAGUGAAGCAUCUUAAUGCAUUUUUGUACUUUGUGAAGCAUCUUAAUUUGAUCGAUAUGUGCAUUCAGUUGAGAACUCUGAAGUCAGAACAACUGUGUUUGACUUCUUCAGAUGGUAAUUUUUAUCGGUUAGACUUAUAGUUACAAUUACUAGAAGUAGCAAAGGUCUGGGUUUGUUUAGAGCUUGAGUUGGUGCUUUUUUGUUUCAGAUCAUAUGUUGGUACUUCAUUUUACUCAGAUCAUAUGAAGGUGAGUGUAAUUGUGUGAUCUGGAUUAGGAUGCAAUGAAAUUCAGAAGUAGUAGAAGUACACUGUUUUUUACUUUCUUUCAGAACGAAUACUAUAGAAGUACACCGCUGCCUGGUAAAUUAUUGCCAUGGCCUCAAUGGCAGAUGUGUACCUGAUAGUGAUAUAUCCUACGAGUACCGGAUGGUUGACAUCCUUACCUGACAGGUAUAGAUUAUACAUAGUAGCCUAGCAGUGCAUGGAAAAACUAGGUUCGGUCUGAAGUCUGAACCCCUGAAGAAGCAAAAGCCAAAAAACAGAGAUCAGACGACUAAAUACAAGAGUGCAUCUUCUCCUUUUUUGUCUUUUUGUUGAGUGGAAUGCAUCUUCUAACCUGGCUGUAGGCUAUAAUCAACUCAAUUUUGUUUUCUCCAUGUGAUAGCCAGGUAGGCGGCUACGUGGUAAAAUAAGCUCAACUUUCUUUUAAUAAAUCUGGAUCAUGUCUUUAGAGUGUAGAGAUGCAACAUCAUAUACGUACAAGGAAUGGUCGACGACCACUUUUACAAUCAUCUUUUUUGUUUGUGAAAUCAGAGCUUCUAUUAUUACAACUGCACGCUCCAGUCAUGCUGAAUACAUGGGAGCAGUACAUACAGUAGAAGGAGAUACAGAUUAAAGCUAUGCUCCUCAUUCAACUUUUGCCACACUCGUUCAGUAAUCAGUACAACUCAUUCUGCUUCAGAAUGGAAGCGUCGAACGGCUAGCAGAACCGAGGCCGCUGGGACACCGUCGCAUUGAGGUAGUGCCAUGGCCGUAGGAGCUGAUGUUGCAUGGGCAGCGCCGCGGCCGCAGGAUCGCUGUUGUGUAGUGCAACAGCCUCCGACUCGGUGUUGCGUGAUGGAAGAGCAGUGGUCAAGUUCGACGGCAUUGAAGCGAGAUGUGAGAUCCCAGCGCUCCAAAUGACGAGUCGUGGCCGGCGGAGGGCUAACAACCGGUGGUGGAGGGUGAUUCUGAGAAAUCAUGAGCUUUUUCCUUCUAUGAGAAGUGAUAAAGUUACAACAUAGUUUGCUCAGUGGUGUGCAUCAGUGCAGAUUGAGCAAGGCACAAUCUAAGAAGAAAAACACAAAAUUAGAAACAGUGUGCAUCAUAUGAAUGUUGGUUGAGCGACGUUGUUGGGAGCCCGGUUGUGGCACAGCCCUUCGGCGUGGUGCCCUCUUGCAUUGCCGCUAUGGUCGCCUUGCGUUGGACGGGAGGAGAUAAGUCAAUCCCCAAUUAAGAUGCACAAUUAAGAUCCCUAACUAAACUGGCAACAUCAUUAUUGAAGGGAAAUGAUUGGAUGACAAACUUUAUAGGUUUAGUAUCAUAUCAUUCAUUUGUGACUGCAUGAUCUUAAUUGUGCAUCUCUGAA